CGUCGGCCAUGUUGGGAAGGUCGGGCUCGGAGUUAAAAAAGGGCGGGUCCAUUACGCUCGGAAACUACAGUUGGCAACACGCGUCUGCCAUGUUGGGGUCUUCUAAGGACAACAGUCUCUAUCUUCCACCCAGAAUCAGACAACAGCUCAAGACUGAGAGAUACCCAAGACCCUUUUAUGUGAUGAUGUGACAUCCUCAGGUUGGGAGGAAUUAUAACCCCAAGCAUCUGCCCUGAAGCCAGUCGUCUAGAUACAGGAAGAUGCUGGAAUCACCCUAUCUGAGUUGCGCUGCUGUUAUGGAAAACACUUUUGUGAAGACCCUGGAUGCAGCUGCUAGACCAAACCAAAGUAGCCUGUAUUGACAGUGGUCGGGACCCACCAGACAUCUGAGGAAUCUUCUGUGUGAAAGGUUGCCCUUGGGAGCUGUUGGCUGGACCUUUUUGUGGCUGUUUGGAUGACUAGGGAGUCUGAGGCAGGGUCGGAGAACAAGAACUCCACUUCCUUUGCUGGGACAAAAUACCGCUUUUCCAUCCUCUUAGGUGUAGGAGCACACCUAACUGGUAUGUGCCAUUCAGUUCUUGCUGGUUCUAGUAUGGCCUCAUUCACUGGGAGUGCUAUUUGGCUAGACUCCUUACGCUGUAGGAUGUCCAAGAGCUUGUGUUGUGAGUCCUGGACCUCCUCUAAGGGGAACUGGAGCUUUUCUGCUACUCUCCGAAGCACAUGCUGGUGACUGAGACUUUCUCAGAGAUUUACUCUUUACAUCUUUCUGUGUAGAGACAGAUGUUCAGGCUACCUUUGGUGAGGUCUUUGGUGCCAUGGAUGGGAUCAGUGCCAUGAUACUGCCUACGUCUCUACCGGCCUCUGGUGUCCGAGAUGUUGAUGUAGUCAUACUGGGAGGCCUAUGCACAGGGAGGUCCUCUGCCCCUGGAUCUGAAGACGGUCUUAAGGCUUGUUGCAUCGCUAGGAGCAUCCUCCUCCUAUUGUUUCAGAAUCUACCCUUGAAGUAAGUGUAGAUCUUGCACUUACUGGGUAUAUGAGCAUCUCCCAAACAGCAGAGGCUCUGAGAAUGAGUGUCACUGAUAAGGACAACCUCACUGCAGGAGAAGCACCUUUUAAAUCCCUGGGACCCCAACAUCCCCAAGCAAAAGAACAAAAACAUGAUUUCCUAAAUAGUUGAAAUCUCUAACUAUAUCUAUGAAUGACAUUUUUUCCUAAGGGAAAGGAAAAAAAAAAGGGGGGGGACAGCUGUUCCAACAACUAUAAACCAUAUAAAAUAGCUACCUAUAUACUAACUAGCUAACUAACUAACUGCUGAAUACUAAAGAGAACAGACACACAGUAGACCAGUGGUUCUCAACUUACAGGCCAGUCAGCACACAGCUAAGGCCCAUGUGACAUACUCAGGGCUAUUCAGGUAGUACUGGAUGUGGCCCACAAUGGUAAAUAGAUUGAGAACCACUGCAGUAGACCCUGCAGUAGGUGAUUGAGAAGGAACUGAGGGCAGUUCGCCUGUGCAGCCCCAUAUAGCCUAAAUGUGUGUGGUGCACACAUAGGCCAAAUGGGCACUGUUACCAAACAGCUUCGCAUGUGAAUUGGCGCACCCACAGGGACUCUACUCAAAGAAGAAUAAAAAGUUAUUGCUAGCCUUCCUUCAUCAGAUCGAGCCAGGAGCACCCAUCCUCUCAUCCAUAAAAUCUGAAAAAGGACCAGAUUUCUUCAGGACCCAUUGUGGGCAUUACACUAGUUGCCCUUCUUUCCUUGGGGGCUAGAAAGGAAUUUUUCCCUUACCACCAGGUUGGUCAAGACAGGGUGAGGUUUUUUUGUUUUUGUUUUUUGGCCUUUCCCACAGUAGGUUUGGGACCCCGUGAGGUGGAGCAAGGUUGGGAGAUUAGGUUAUAAUGUCACAAUUUAGUAUAUAAAAUGCAUAACAGAUGUCUAGUGCAAUGGAAGGGUUACAGAUAUUGCAUAAAAUGGAUUGGAAAAGGAUCAGAAGGAAAGCAUCCCUUAAGGGAGCUGAAGAAGGAGGGUUAGGGGCUCCUACGUCUGGUAUAGUGAAGCCAACUCUCCUCCUUUUCUAGCCCCCCCUUUAGCCCUCAUAUGAGGAAAGGAGGCGAGGUGCAACCUGGCUGGGGAUUAUGUGGAAGUGAUUAAGGAACUGAUGAUGACCUGCACUGUACAAUUUAUGGCUGGGUACUUCCAGAUAUUUUAAGUGAACAAAGUUGCAGCCUAAUUAAGCCACAUCCACUGCCUCGUAUCUUUCUUUUGGUGUGGCCUGACAAUGUGUGGAUCAGACCCUAGUAUUUUCCUAAAGACCAUAGCAGGAAAAAAAAGUGUUGCUCUUCUUUAACUUACUUUGUUUAAUCUGCAAGGGAUAAUAUUUAUUUAUUUAUUUAUUAAGACCAUUAGGAGUCACAUUCAACACAACAGGCUAAGAUUUCUGCUUUAUUGACUGGAAAACCUAUAUUUGUUUUUAAAAGACCAAAGCAGCUGAUCUUCACAGAAACACCCUAUACUGCAUGCUCCACAGGACUAAGUAUAGCUGAUUAUAUUCCUCAAGAUACUCCAAAAUUCAACAGUUUUCAGAUAUUCUACCACAAUGAAACAUUUUACAAUUAUUAUUUUUUUAAUUACACACUUAAGAAAAAUCUAAGUAACGAUAAUUUGAAAUUCCAAAUCUGAAUUUUCUGGUAAAAACAAUACAUAAAAGCACAAGAGAAUAAAUAGUAAAAUUAUUUCAGCAUUUACUUACGUCUGCAAUGCAUUAUUUUUUGCAUUAAUAAGGCUCUGUUCUUGGAUCUUGUCAAGUAUUAACAAGGCACAUUUUUCAUGACCCUAAUAUUAAAAAGAAAAAUAAAUAAAUGUUAAUCUGCAGAGGGUUUUAAAAUUGAGGCAACAUAAAUAAAAAAUACAAAUCCAAAUUUAAAAAUGCAUUUAGAAUUACAAACAUGCUUCUGAGUUUAUAAAAGGGUGCAUACUUGAUGCAUUUCAAAGGCCAGGAGACACACAGUGCAAUCCCUACCAUUAUUACUGGGUGAAUUUUAAGUAAUCCAAAUGUGCCAAUUGUGGCUUUUUUUCCUUUAAAACACUGCAUGCCUUAUAAAUAUAGACCCUACUUUAAGCUGAAUUUGAAUCCAUGUCUUCAUGAAACAGUAGUGAUCUUUUGAAAGAGCAGUUAACUGAUUGUGUAUAUUUUUUUAAAAUAAAUAAGCAAUAUUUAGCACUAGUAACAGUACUUCUUUGACCUUUAAAUGCCUGAUUGCUUAUGCAUUUUAAUUAGGCAAAGAAACUUUAAAUAAUUUUUUUCAAUUAAAUAGCUGAAGAAGUAUUUUCCCCCUGUAUGAUAAGGGCACUACUGACAAUUAAACUGUCCAAAGAUUUUAUUAAACAAUGCAGAAUUGGGCCACAAUUCUGCAACUUCUUCUGCAUGAGUGCAGGGGUCAGCCUGGGCAGAACAAGUUGCAGGGUUGGGAUUUUGGGGUAUAGGUGUGUAGCACAGGUAUCCAUUCCUUGAAUGUGGUCCAGCACCAAAGGUACCAUAUUAAACAGCUGAUAUGAGAUGCUAACAAAUAAAUAUAGCUGAUGUAUCUUUAUAAAAAAAAUUUGGGGGGGAGGAGGUACAUCAAAGAGGCCUUGAACAAACUUGAUCACUACUAGACUCCCAUCUAUUAAAAGGUGCAAUCGAAAAAGAAAAACCUGUUAAGGGAAUGAGGGCAUUUCUUUCUUGCUAAGCCAGGUAAUAGCAGCAGCAGAAUAGGAGGAGAGAGGGGAGAGAGGAGGUGAAGCCUACUGAGGUUACUAAAUACGUGGACACAGAGCCUGGAAAAGAAAACCAUGACCAAACCUGAUCUCUGCCUCAACUUUUUUAAGAUCUUGACAUCAUCUUGAACGGGAAAUUUCUGUCCCUUUCCACAGAAAUCCGAGAGAUUAUGUAAAUCUGUAUUAUACUGCACUACAGUGAGACUAUUCAGUAAGUUCACAAUGGUCUCAUAGCUUCUUCACAUUAGAAAUAUUUCCUUAUUCCUGUUACCAGUAUCUCAAAAGUAGUAAGAUACAGCAGCCUAUAUUUGUCUUGCCUCUCAAAUUACUGUAACCUUGCUGGAUAGGCUGAAGAGCAAGCCAACCCUACUACAUUUCCUCCCUCCUCUUUCCCUGCCCAAGUCUGUGUAUAUCACAACUUCAUUGCACUCAGGAUUUAAUUGGCCUGAGAAAUGAAUGUCUUCAAUACACUGCCAACACCUUGUUUUAAAUACCUUUUCAAUGCACACAUACAUAAUAUACAUAAUGCGAGUCUGUGUGUGUGCGCAUGCAGGUAGUCUACAAAGUUCCUUAACAUACUUUACUGCUAGCCAAGUGCAAGGGUGUAUUCAAGUCCUUAUCCUUUACAGUCAGAUCAGCCUUGGCACUGUUCACCAAAAAAUCUGAAAUACAGAAACAAAUACCAUGGGAUAAGUACCAGCGAUUGAUACACAUGCAAACUGCAAAGGAGAAAAUUAACUCCAGUCUCCAUAUGUGCACACAGUACUGUACAUGGUGAAAUAGAUCCUUAUUCUAUAUAAACCAUACAAAUGUGGAGGAAAAAUUAUCAAUGAACAAAUUGUAAUUUGUGCAGUUAAUCAGCAAUCAAACCAAAGCUAACAGCUGGUUGAAAAUGGAAAACUGUUAAUUAAAUGUUCAUUUUACCCAAAACUGUCAGUUCAAAUGUAUUCUAAUACUGUAUGUAUUUUAAUUUGACUGAUGAAAUCUGCUGCAGUUUUGACUGCAGUGAAAAAUGGCAGUUUUGGCCUGAAACAGUCCACCCAGUUAACAACUGUGGAUCCUGCUUUGAAAGGUUUAAGUGGGUUCUGCUGACUCAUAUCUUUGGGGGAGAUAAUGGGUGUAGCAAUCUAGGAUGUGGGCUACGCAGUCAAGCCUGGAGAGAAAGUAUCAGUUAACAGUUGCUAUAGGGUUUUUAGAAAAAAUAAGUCCAGACUCAACUUACAGUUGCCCAUUCAAAACAGUAUUUUGUGCUUCAAAAUACACACCUUUUAAUAAUUUAACUACAAAAGAUUACUCUGCUAGAAGGAGAUUCUAUUGCCCUGUAGAAUCAGGGAAAUGAAAAAAAUGAAGGAAUGAAUACCAAGAGCACUUUUUAAUCACACACUACACGACUUGGCAAAAAAUGGGCAUGGUUUAUCCGUUAUUGAAACUAUUUGCAAAGUGAAGUGAAAACAACGGACAUAAGAAUUCUGGGUGCAAUAAACACAUGAGACUUUUUAAAAAUAUGAAGCGAAUUUCCUUUUACCCUUAUAUAAAAUAGAUGGACACACAUUUAGGUAUGUACUCUUAGUAUCUCUUUGUAUUUUAAUUAUAAUCCCCAAAGGGGUGGGGGGGAAACUGAUAAAGCACUUGGAUGGGUAAGUACAGUAGCCUUCAUUUUCUUUCAAGAUUUACAGAAGCAAGUAGGUACCUACCU